GGACCCUACUGCUAUCGGGGGAGGACUAAAACAUGCAAGUUGUGCGUCUCCAAGCUAUGAUGGAGACGCGGCGUACAGCUCAGUAACACGUGGCUAACCCACCCUUGAGACGGAGACAACCCCGGGAAACUGGGGCUAAUCCCCGAUAGGAGAAGACACCUGGAAGGGGUCUUUUCCCAAAAGGCGUUUAGAUCAUGCUUCUAGACGUCGCUCAAGGACGGGGCCGCGGCCGAUCAGGUUGUUGGUGAGGCAAUGGCUCACCAAGCCUAUAACCGGUACGGGCCGUGAGAGCGGGAGCCCGGAGAUGGGCACUGAGACAAGGGCCCAGGCCCUACGGGGCGCAGCAGUUGCGAAAACUCCGCAAUGCACGAAAGUGUGACGGGGCUACCCCGAGUGCCGUCCGCUGAGGGCGGCUUUUCCCCGGUGUAAGGAGCCGGGGGAAUAAGGAGAGGGCAAGUCUGGUGUCAGCCGCCGCGGUAAUACCAGCUCUCCGAGUGGUAGGGAUGAUUAUUGGGCUUAAAGCGUCCGUAGCUGGCCUAGCAAGUCUUCCGUUAAAUCCACCGAUUCAAUCGUUGGACUGCGGGAGAUACUGUUGGGCUAGGGGGCGGGAGAGGCCGACGGUAUUCUCGGGGUAGGGGUAAAAUCCUAUAAUCCCGGGAGGACCACCAGUGGCGAAGGCGGUCGGCUAGAACGCGCUCGACGGUGAGGGACGAAAGCUGGGGGAGCGAACCGGAUUAGAUACCCGGGUAGUCCAGGGUGUAAACGCUGCUUGCUUGAUGUUAGUUGGGCUCCGAGCCCAAUUAGUGUCGGAGAGAAGUUGUUAAGCAAGCUGCCUGGGAAGUACGGCCGCAANACUGAAACUUUAA
rnacentral:rRNA from 1 species